AUCAUAGCCCAUAUCACCAUGAUGACACCUCAUCUCAUCUGAUUUUGGAAGCUAAAGAAAGGUCAGGCAUGGUUAAUACUUGGAUGAUGGGCCACCAGAGAGCACCACAGAUC
rnacentral:rRNA from 1 species